GGAAAGAGCCGAGUGGGCUCGAGGCCGACGCGACCAUCGUUUGUCGACGCCGCUGCCACCGCCUGCCUGAGAGAAGUCGUCGCGGCCGACCCCGUCGCCUCCGCCGGCUACCAUGUCCGCCCAGGCGCAGAUGCGGGCCCUGCUGGACCAGCUCAUGGGCACGGCUCGGGACGGUUCAGUGUAUCUUUGCCUGCCUACAUCAAUCUGCAAGGGAGUUGCAGAAAGCCUCAUGUUCAUCGAGCCGUGAGUCACAACCAAUUUCUAAGCUGUUAUAACAAAAAAGUGUUUGCUUUUUUUCACAAGUAACUUUAAAAGUGUAGUUUAGAAAGAAAACAUUUUCAAUAAAAAGACACUACAUUAAUCCUGGAUGCUUGCAAAUCCUAAAAUAUAUUCCUCCUCUAGCGUUGCACAGCUCUGUGUUGUAUACACAGACUAGCUUUAAAAUUUGUCACAUACCACUUUACCUUUACUUUUAUGUAUCAUUCCCCCGACUUCCUUACUGCAGGUGUGGGCAAGAAAACUUUUCCUUUAACACUUUUCAACAGCGGGCAUAAAAUUCUGCAGCUGAGGUCUUGAAGAAUGCAGAUGGGUACAGUAUGUGUUGGAGCUCACAGUGUGUAUUGACUAACCUAGUUCCUUUUUUGCUUUUUUUGGUAUUGUCUUGUUAAAAGUGACUCCCAGGUAGCAACUCUCUUUUUUAAGGGUGGGAACGAAGGGGACAUAGGAAGAAUAGAUCUAGAUUAUUUAACAGUCUUCGAUAGAGUUUGAAAGCUUUCUUCUUCAUUCAAUUUUGGGCAAAAUACUGCCUCUGCAUUUGUUCAUAACAAAAAGAUUAGAUUAAUAAGUAGCUUUUGUUGGUGGAAAUUACCAGCUCUAUAAGUGACCCUUGGUGGUUCAUGGACCUCUGAUUAGCUUGGGUUUUGCAGUCUCAUUGCCACAUGUAUAUGUGGAGCCAAUGGCCUUUUGGUGCUCAGCUGUUUACGUCUGACUCCUUGACUUCUUUGGUACAAUGAUGGAGUCAGAUCUCAUUAAGUGUGAUUCUCCAUGAUAUAACUAGCCUCAAAAAAAUGUGUAUUCCACUCCAGUUGUAAAUAUCUUUAGAUCAGCUUUUCAUUGUAUUUGAUGGGGAGAACACAGAAAUGAUAGUCUGCAAAUCAUCCAGGUGAAUUGUUAUACUAGUUUUUUUUUGUGGUUAAUGUGAUAAUAUUGUCUUAUUUAAAACCACAAAUGAAUUUCAGGAGACGAAACCAGACAGAGGGUCAAGUUUACAGAUGACCGUGUCUGCAAGAGUCACCUUCUGGACUGCUGCCCCCAUGACAUCCUGGCUGGGACGCGCAUGGAUUUAGGAGAAUGUACCAAAAUCCACGACUUGGCCCUCCGAGCAGAUUAUGAGAUUGCAAGUAAAGAAAGAGACCUGUUUUUUGAAUUGGAUGCAAUGGAUCACUUGGAGUCCUUUAUUGCGGAAUGUGAUCGGAGAACUGAGCUCGCCAAGAAGCGGCUGGCAGAAACACAGGAGGAAAUCAGUGCGGAAGUUUCUGCAAAGGCAGAAAAAGUACAUGAGUUAAAUGAAGAAAUAGGAAAACUCCUUGCUAAAGCCGAACAGCUAGGGGCUGAAGGUAAUGUGGAUGAAUCCCAGAAGAUUCUUAUGGAAGUGGAAAAAGUUCGUGCGAAGAAAAAAGAAGCUGAGGAAGAAUACAGAAAUUCCAUGCCUGCAUCCAGUUUUCAGCAGCAAAAGCUGCGUGUCUGCGAGGUCUGUUCAGCCUACCUUGGUCUCCAUGACAAUGACCGUCGCCUGGCAGACCACUUCGGUGGCAAGUUACACUUGGGGUUCAUUCAGAUCCGAGAGAAGCUUGAUCAGUUGAGGAAAACUGUCGCUGAAAAGCAGGAGAAGAGAAAUCAGGAUCGCUUGAGGAGGAGAGAGGAGAGGGAACGGGAGGAGCGUCUGAGCAGGAGGUUAAAGUGAUUUUCCUGCCUCAGUCUCCUAAGUAGCUGGGAUUACAGGCACCCGCCACCACGCCUGGCCAGGUUUUGUGUUCUCAGUAGAGACGGGGUUUCACCAUGUUGGCCAGGCUGGUCUCCAGCUCGUGACCUCAGGUCGGGAUCAAGAACCAGAGAUCGCAGGAGGUCACGCUCCCGGGAUCGGCGUCGGAGGCGGUCAAGAUCUACCUCCCGAGAGCGACGGAAAUUGUCCCGGUCCCGGUCCCGAGAUAGACAUCGGCGCCACCGCAGCCGUUCCCGGAGCCACAGCCGGGGACAUCGUCGGGCUUCCCGGGACCGGAGUGCGAAAUACAAGUUCUCCAGAGAGCGGGCAUCCAGAGAGGAGUCCUGGGAGAGCGGGCGGAGCGAGCGAGGGCCCCCGGACUGGAGGCUUGAGAGCUCCAACGGGAAGAUGGCUUCACGGAGGUCAGAAGAGAAGGAGGCCGGCGAGAUCUGAACCCGUCUCCCGGGUGCUGUAAAUAGUCUGAUAAACGUUCACACAGUCUAAAAUUACCCUUUAUAUUUGCUGAAUACAACUCAUCUUUUGUAGUUUAAAAUUUCUAUUGUUUUGGAGCUAGCUGUGAGUUUCUAGAAGUGUACAGAGUUGCUCCUGUGUUCCGGGGUCAUGUUGAGUAGGAAUAAAUAAAUCUGAUGCUGCCUCCUGA
rnacentral:sRNA from 1 species